rnacentral:sRNA from 12 species
GUCCUAUACAGAUGUAUCGGCGCAAGCCAGCGGAGCAUCUCCCUUUAGGGCGAAGUUUAUUUAUUAGAAGCUUUGACAACAAUUUUCAUUGUGUGGCUACGGUCGAAAUGGGAUGAGUUAGAGUGGAGUAGGUUAACCGUAAGACCUUGAGUUGGAAAAUUCUAAAUUGGAGCUAGAGAUAUGGAUUUAUUAAAUUUUGCAUUUUCUGGUUACGGCGAG